GGGGAUGUAUGGUUUUGACAGCAAGAUGAAUUGUCAUGUAAGCAUGUCGAGCCUCGCAGUGACGCUCGUAAAUCUUGACUGCAAAAAAUUAAUUGGCGAAAACAACUACGCUCUCGCUGCCUGAUUGAAGCACAGUAGAUCACUGGCUUAAUCCGCUCACAAGGUGGGCGGACGAGACAUCCCGCAGGUGGAGAUUCCUGAUUCCGGCCUGAGCCCGGGGUGCUAAGCAAUUUCGGGAUAGCCUUGUCGACGCUCCGACAGCAAGGCGAAGCUUUAGGAGAUAAGGUCGCGUUUAGGGCGUUCGUUCCCUUGCGCGGCACGAAAACCAACAGCGGAAUAAGCAUGUAGAAACCAUGGGGGUUCCUUGUUUGGACGAGGGUUCGACUCCCUCCAUCUCCACU
rnacentral:tmRNA from 1 species